AACAUACAAGAGAGAAGGGAUAAGAAACAAGACCACAAAUGGAGUUCCUAUCUUGAGAUCAUAUUGAUGAUCCAAGUAGCUCCCAUCCUUUGGAAUAAGCAAGAUAAACAAAUACUCAAGCAAGCAAGCACACAAUCACAACAAGCUUCUAGGAAUCUUCCAAUGGCUUUUAGGUCUCUCUCUCUCAGAAACUCAUGGCAAUGG
rnacentral:lncRNA from 1 species